GGUUAAGCGACUAAGCGUACACGGUGGAUGCCCUGGCAGUCAGAGGCGAUGAAGGACGUGCUAAUCUGCGAAAAGCGUCGGUAAGGUGAUAUGAACCGUUAUAACCGGCGAUGUCCGAAUGGGGAAACCCAGUGCAAUUCGUUGCACUAUCGUUAACUGAAUACAUAGGUUAACGAGGCGAACCGGGGGAA
rnacentral:rRNA from 1 species